UCUACCUAAACCUAACAGCCGCGCGCUGCGCUCCCUGGCUUCUCUCCCAGCCGCCGCCUCUAUUCUCCUUUCCCUCUUCUCUCUCCCCUCGCCUAUCUCCUCCCCCGACGCGCCUGCACCAACAGUGGAAGAGCUCGCUAGCGAAGCAGGCCUGGGUUGCGGCGCACAGCGUGAACGCGUUCGGCAAGAGACCCUCCUCGAGCGUCUCACCGAAAAGGCGGAGCGCCUCCGCCUCAGCGCCAUUUUGCGAGAGGCAGGACACCAUGGCCGUCCAGGAGAUGAGGUCCCGCAGGCCGACGGGCAUUCCGUCGAACACGCUGCGCGCGGCGGCCACGACGCUACACAUGCAGUAGAGCGUGAGGAGCGAGUUGGCGACGACGGAAUCAGUCUCGACCUAUAGGAAUCGUUGAAUGCCCGGUACAACCGAUCAAGUUUCGACAACCCCUGGUUCGUCAUCGGGGUCUCCUACUCCGGCGCUCUCAGCGCCUGGUUCAGGCUCAAGUUCCCCCAUUUGACAUGUGGGAGCCUCGCGAGCUCAGGGGUGGUUCUUGCAGUGUACAACUACACCGACUUUGACAAGCAGGUUGGAGAGUCAGCUGGUCCUGAGUGCAAAGCUGUCCUUCAGGAAAUAACUGAACUCGUUGACGAACAGCUCCGGCUGGAGAGUCACUCGGUGAAGGCUCUAUUUGGAGCACAGAUGACAUCAAGUAAGUGGCGACAUCACAACCCCUACAAGUUUGUGCCUCAAAACAAGAGGAUACAAGAAGUUGGAGUGCUUUUGUGAAGGCUUUUGCGAAUCACUUGAAACGUUGGUACUUUUGUGAAUGAUUUUGUAAAGUGUUUGCAAAUAUGUGCAAAACAUAAUAACAUGUGUAGGUUUUGUGAAUGAUUUUGUUGUGGUGCUUGUUGAUGGUUUAUGUGAUGUGGAUCUAUCAUUGUGCAAUACUAAUUAAAUUUGUAUAUCUAUGUGAUUAUGUGUAUAAAAAUUGGUGAUUUGUGAUGCUUUUGUAUAUAUAACAGUUGUUG
rnacentral:misc_RNA from 1 species